UCAUUGGUGGUCUUGUGGUAGGAUGCUCGCCUGCCACGCGGGCGACCGAGGCUCGAUUCCCGGCCAAUGCA
rnacentral:tRNA from 1 species